rnacentral:rRNA from 1 species
UAGGGAAUAUUAGAAAUGGACGAAAGUCUGAUCUAGCAACACCGCGUGUGCGAAGAAGGCCUUCGGGUUGUAAAGCACUUUUUGGAAGGAUUAGGAAGGAAUGUACUUCCAGAAUAAGUCUCGGCUAACUACGUGCCAGCAGCCGCGGUAACACGUAGGAGGCAAACGUUAUCCGGAUUUACUGGGCGUAAAGCGUGUGUAGGCGGUUUGAUAAGUUGGAUGUGAAAGCUCCUGGCUUAACUGGGAGAGGUCGUUCAAAACUAUCAGACUUGAGAGUGGUAGAGGGAGGUGGAAUUCCGCAUGUAGUGGUGAAAUGCGUAGAUAUGCGGAGGAACACCAGUGGCGAAAGCGGCCUCCUGGCCCAUUUCUGACGCUCAGACACGAAAGCUAAGGUAGCAAACG